GCCUCUACAAUCGAAGAGUAUUACAGUUCCAGCAUUUAGCUGUAAGAAAAUUACUAAACUAUAUAUUCCAAAAUUCCUUCAUAGGCAAUAUUUCUUCAUUCAAUAACUUCUUAAGAUAAAAACAAUGUUCAAGAGAGCGCAAGGCCCCAGACGCAAAGCAAAAGAAAAAUUGGUUUAAAAUAAACAUGGUAUUGUCAAGGAAAGCACACACUAAGUAGCUCUGGGAGCAGCCCAUUCAACUCGAAGGAUGAGAUUGUCAUAACCAUAACCAUUGAGCUUGUUUAUGGCCCUCUCAGCAUCUUCUCUGUUGACAAAGUUGACAAAACCAAAUCCUCUGCUCAUUCCCGUCUUUUGAUCAAUAGCAACAUACACUCUGCUGACGUGGCCAAAUGGACGGAACAGCUCCAACAAAUCAGCCUCCCGAGUGUCCUCCGAAAGAUUGGUGACCCUAACAGAGUUUUCUUCAUUCCUUCUUCUCAUCUCAGUCCCCCCACCACUUCCUCUCUCUGCUGCACCACCUCUCAUGCUGGGAGGAACAUAAGCACUCUUUUGAGAACCAGCACCAGCAGCAGGUGCUUCCCCCCUUGAUGGUGGCCUAUCCACAAAGGUCUCACUUGGCUGUGCAAGAUCCUUGAAGGGGCAUUUUGAUGUCCAAUGAUCACCUUUCUUGCCACAGGUCCUACACACCAUAAGAACAGCCCCUGCUUUCGCAAUUUGAUUCAAAGAGUCUCCACCAGAUUUAGAUUCGUCCUGCUUCGAACCAGGAGCUCUAGGGCGCUCAAGAAUAAUCUCCUCCGUAGAAACCAUGGUGAGACGAGCACCAACAUCCUCAUGAACAGCAUCACCAAACUUAGGCCAAGAACGGCGCUCAACAGCGCCUUUACUAAGCCUAGCAUUCGCAAGCUUACAGAUACGUACAGUAGUAGUAAUUCUCACCUUGUUACCUUCCUCAUUAAACUUGUAUUCCACUAUUUUCUUCAAUCCAUUACGGUCUGGCCCAAUUACUUGCUUGGGCGGCAACAGAAAAUCCAAGUCCUCCGCAUCAUCUUCUAGCUCUCCCCAUCGAAUUUUUGGUUGGUUUGCAGCUUCCACCGCCAUUGUUAUUUUCCGAUAAGCCGCUAAAACAGAGAGAAAUUUCGUAUUAG
rnacentral:misc_RNA from 1 species